AGGAAAUUGUUCCAAGUUUUUAGUUUCCAGCCUUCCUAAUCUUUUUUAGUUGAUGAUAAAUCUGUUGAUGGUAGAAACUACAAUUACGGACUUACGGAGGAAAGAAGCUAUGCCUGCACCAACUGCCAAAUAGAUGAAUUUGAGAGCUUCCUGAAGAAAUAAAAAGUACAGGCGAAUGGACGACCUGUUCAGUUGGACCUUUUCAUUGUGUUUGGAGGAUAAAUGGUUUUUCAUCACUCGAGCAUCGAUCUCCGAGAGGACCUAUGGUGAGCAUUACGGCGACUUUCAUGGAUAAUGAAGAGACAUUCAUCACUCGAGCAUGUCGGCAUUAGGGCAAAUUAUUGGGUCAGAGUUAGCGACCCGACCCGAUAACGCAUUUCAUUUGAAUUCCGGAAAAUAAAGAAUGGAAACGCUACGUAUUUUAUUUUCAAGCGACAUUUUCACUGUUACUCCAGCUCUGGUAAGCGCUCUCGGAUUCCUCCAAUACCUUCGGUUCUGCAUUAGCUUAUUCCCGCCGGAGGUAGACGACGAGAUUGUAGAAGAUCAUCAAUCAGGAAGAGCUCAAUAUGGAGGCACAGUCAACUCGUAGGGAUCAGCUCAAAGAAGCACUCAUCCAAAGCAUGCCCAGAGGAGAACCCACUUUAACAAGAUUUGAUAAGGUUAGGCACUCGUCCAAAUAAAACUCGACUCAGCAGGACUCAAACCAGAAUGACUCUCCUUUUCAAGGCAAUCAUUUCAAAGGAGCUUGCCUCCACCAAAGGACCGCUCACCCCAUCAACACGAGAUGCUCACCUACUCAGACUCAGUUGUGGCGACCAUGCCUUCUCAAUCAGGACCUUGAUUUAAGAGGCACUGGCCAAAGUCACUCGACAAAUGCCCUAGCAAAAACCCAAGCCAAGUCAAAUAUAUCAAGACACUAUUAAUCCCAAUUAGUCCAUAUGUUUGCAAAAUUCAAGCAUUGUACUACUUUAUUUUUAGAUAUAGCAUUUCUUGUAGCCUUCCCAUCACUAUAAAUAACA